AUUGAACGCUGGCGGCAGGCCUAACACAUGCAAGUCGGACGGUAGCACAGAGAGCUUGCUCCUCGGGUGACGAGUGGCGGACGGGUGAGUAAUGUCUGGGGAUCUGCCCGAUAGAGGGGGAUAACCACUGGAAACGGUGGCUAAUACCGCAUAACGUCGCAAGACCAAAGAAGGGGACCUUCGGGCCUCUCACUAUCGGAUGAACCCAGAUGGGAUUAGCUAGUAGGCGGGGUAACGGCCCACCUAGGCGACGAUCCCUAGCUGGUCUGAGAGGAUGACCAGCCACACUGGAACUGAGACACGGUCCAGACUCCUACGGGAGGCAGCGGUGGGGAAUAUUGCACAAUGGGCGCAAGCCUGAUGCAGCCAUGCCGCGUGUAUGAAGAAGGCCUUCGGGUUGUAAAGUACUUUCAGCGGGGAGGAAGGCGAUGUGGUUAAUAACCGCAUUGAUUGACGUUACCCGCAGAAGAAGCACCGGCUAACUCCGUGCCAGCCGCCGCCGUAA
rnacentral:rRNA from 1 species